CGAAGCCCGUAAUUCCUUUAGGCC
rnacentral:siRNA from 1 species